rnacentral:rRNA from 1 species
CGGUUGCCGCCGGCUCAUAGUGCAAGUCGAGCGGACAGAUAAGGAGCUUGCUCCUUUGACGUUAGCGGCGGACGGGUGAGUAACACGUGGAUAACCUACCUAUAAGACUGGGAUAACUUCGGGAAACCGGAGCUAAUACCGGAUAACAUAUUGAACCGCAUGGUUCAAUAGUGAAAGGCGGCUUUGCUGUCACUUAUAGAUGGAUCCGCGCCGUAUUAGCUAGUUGGUAAGGUAACGGCUUACCAAGGCAACGAUACGUAGCCGACCUGAGAGGGUGAUCGGCCACACUGGAACUGAGACACGGUCCAGACUCCUACGGGAGGCAGCAGUAGGGAAUCUUCCGCAAUGGGCGAAAGCCUGACGGAGCAACGCCGCGUGAGUGAUGAAGGUCUUCGGAUCGUAAAACUCUGUUAUCAGGGAAGAACAAAUGUGUAAGUAACUGUGCACAUCUUGACGGUACCUGAUCAGAAAGCCACGGCUAACUACGUGCCAGCAGCCGCGGUAAUACGUAGGUGGCAAGCGUUAUCCGGAAUUAUUGGGCGUAAAGCGCGCGUAGGCGGUUUUUUAAGUCUGAUGUGAAAGCCCACGGCUCAACCGUGGAGGGUCAUUGGAAACUGGAAAACUUGAGUGCAGAAGAGGAAAGUGGAAUUCCAUGUGUAGCGGUGAAAUGCGCAGAGAUAUGGAGGAACACCAGUGGCGAAGGCGACUUUCUGGUCUGUAACUGACGCUGAUGUGCGAAAGCGUGGGGAUCAAACAGGAUUAGAUACCCUGGUAGUCCACGCCGUAAACGAUGAGUGCUAAGUGUUAGGGGGUUUCCGCCCCUUAGUGCUGCAGCUAACGCAUUAAGCACUCCGCCUGGGGAGUACGACCGCAAGGUUGAAACUCAAAGGAAUUGACGGGGACCCGCACAAGCGGUGGAGCAUGUGUUUUAUUUCGAAGCAACGCGAAAACCUUACCAAUCUUGACAUCCUUUGACCGCUCUAGAGAUAGAGUCUUCACCUUCAGGGGACAAAGUGACAGGUGAUGCAUGUUGCCGUCUGCUCGUGUCAUGAGAAGCUGGAUACGCGCGCACAUCACAGCCGUAGCAUACUGCAAGUCAUGAGAGUG